CCUACGGGAGGCAGCAGUGAGGAAUAUUGGUCAAUGGACGCAAGUCUGAACCAGCCAUGCCGCGUGCAGGAUGACGGUCCUAUGGAUUGUAAACUGCUUUUGUACGAGAAGAAACACUCCGACGUGUCGGAGCUUGACGGUAUCGUAAGAAUAAGGAUCGGCUAACUCCGUGCCAGCAGCCGCGGUAAU
rnacentral:rRNA from 1 species